UGAUCGGAUCUUGUACAAUUUGA
rnacentral:miRNA from 2 species